AUUGAACGCUGGCGGCAGGCUUAACACAUGCAAGUCGAGCGAGCGGCGGACGGGUGAGUAAUGUCUGGGAAACUGCCUGAUGGAGGGGGAUAACUACUGGAAACGGAAGCUAAUACCGCAUAGCAUCAGAUGUGCCCAGAUGGGAUUAGCGAGUAGGUGGGGGAAGGGCUCACCUAGGCCACGAUCACGAGCUGAUCUGAGAGGAUGACCAGCAAAACUGGAACUGAGAAACGGUCCAGACUCCUACGUGAGGCAGAAGUGGGGAAUCUUGCACAAUGGGCGCAAGCCUGAUGCAGCCAGGCCGCGUGUGUGAAGAAGGCCUUCGGGUGGUAAAGCACUGUCAGCGAGGAGGCGUUACUCGCAGAGGAAGCACCGGCUAACUCCGUGCCAGCAGCCGCGGUAAUUC
rnacentral:rRNA from 1 species